GGUCGCUUCUCGCAGGCGGCGCGCUUGCUGGGUCACAGUGAGGCGGCUCCGCGCAGGCGCAGCCGGGCGGGCGAGGAGCGGGGAAGCUGACUCAGGGCUGCGGCCGGGGUCCUGCGGGGUAGGAGCGCGAGGCCGGCCUGAGGGAGGAGGCCUAGCGACCCAUCCGGCGCCUCCCGCCCCGGGCACCCGCCCGCGGCCGCGCAUCCUGCGGGCCCCAGGAGGCCUCCAUCUCAAAACAACGUGUUUUUAGAGAACUCAAGGGCUGUGAAAAGAGCAGGACCUCACCAGCUGCACGGCGGUGGUGACUGGCUCCAUCUUGCUGUCCCUCCCAAUCACACAACAUCUCCCCUUGAAGGCUCUGCCCAGGCCCGGACUCCCACCUUUCAAGAUGUCUGGAUCAGUGCAGGACCUCCUCCUUGGCCACAUCGCUCUCCUUGGACUGGUUCGUUAACCCUGUUUUACGCUGGAGUGCAAUGACUCGGUCUCGGCUCAUUGCAACCUCCGCCUUGCAGGUUCAAGUGAUUCUCCCACCUCAGCCUCCCAAGUAGGAUUACAGUGUUGACUCACCUGUGGAGUGGUCUGAGCCUGAAUGCCCGGGGCUGUGGCCACCGAGUGAACGGGCUGUGCUAAGGGGAAUUGCCACCUUGGGAAACCUGUGUAGUUGCGGCUUUUCUGAUUAAGUAUCAAUAAAAGUCUGACCUUGUGAAAAAAGCAAACGUGAGUGGCCCUGCUUAUGUUUCACCUUGCGUUGCUCAGUGAUAGUUCUGCAAAGUCGCAGGAAACCUGGAAUCAUCUAAUUAUCGUGAGUGUUGGUGAGUAACACCCAUAGGCACUGGCUCCCGGGGAAAUACAGAGUCAGGUUCCUCCGAGCCGCUGGCCACAGCAUUUUUGUUAAGCAGUUCAUCGUUAACCUUGUUGUACAUGUCUCUCUCUCAAGGUUCCUUAUUUAAUAAUGUCUAGUUGAUUCAUUAACAUGGAAUUCAUGGCCAGUACCUCUGUCACUCAUGCCUGACUGAAGUUGAUCAGCACGUCUUUUUCUCCCUUAGGCACAUGACAGCCUUCUUGCAAUCAAGAAACUACGUGUGGCCAGGAUCUCAUCCACUAUCACAGUUUCAGCUUUCCCCAAACUGGAAUGUGUCUUUGCAGACGCCCAUCCUUAUUAAAGGGCAAAGACUUCUCAUACACCUAGGAUGGAUCUUAUAUUCUUGGCGGGACUGCAGAGAAGGUGCCGUGUCCUGAGUCCUCAUGUCAGGGCACAGGCUUCCAGCCAGUUCUACCUGGGUUAUGUUUAUCUCAAUUCCCUGGUGGUAUUGGUGUCUGCUGGGUUUUGCCAGAAUGAAGACACCGUGUUUUCAUUUGUCAGUUGAUUCGUAUUUUCCAGGAAGACAUUCUGAGAUUACAGCAUUGUCUUAGUCAAGGUGCUGCAGAAGGACAGAACUAAUAGGAUAUAUGUACAUAUGAAAGAAAGUUUAUGAAGAACUGGCUCACACCAUCACAAGGCAAAGUCCCAUGACAGGCCAUCUGCAAGCUGAGGAGCGAGGAAGCCAGCAGUGGCUCAGCCGGAGUCCAACAGCCUCAAACGGAAUCCAACAGUUCAGGCUUCAGUCUGUGGCCAAAUGCCCAGAGACCCCGGAAAGCUACUGGUGUUAGUCCCAGAGCCGGAAGGCCAAAGAACCUGGAGUGUGAUGUCCAAGGGCAGGAGGAAUGGACAGAAGCAUCCAGCAUGGGGUAAAGACGAAAGCCAGAAGACUCAGCAAGCUAGCUUACCUACUUUCUUCUGCCUGCCUUGUUCUAGCCGCGCUGGCAGCCGGUUGGAGGGUGCCCACCCCCACUGAGGGUGGAUCUUCCUCUCCUAGUCCACUGACUCAAAUUUCAGUCUCUCUGGGAGCACCAUCACACCAGAAACAAUACCAGCCAUCUAGCCACCCUUCAGUUCACCAUCACAACCAUUGUCUUAUUCAUGAAACUUCUGCAGACCCACCUUAACCUCCAUCGGUGACUUCUACCUGAAGCCCUCUGAUUGUUGCCCAGUGGUGCUUUUUAAAAUAAUUUCCAUAGUUUCUUCUACACCUUUAGUUGGCAUUCUACUGUAAAGGAGAGAUUUUAUUUUCUUACUCAUUUAUUUGUUAGUUUAUAGUCACCACCAUAUGGAUGCAGAGUUCUGUCUCAUUCACUGGGAAGUAUUCUAUUGCAGUCAUGAUUUAUUUUGAUGUUCACAUCCCAGAGUUGGUGAGUGAGCGCCCCUUCACGCUGGCUCCCGAGUGCUGACGUGUCCCCGUCCUUCUCUGCACUUUUCCUUACCUCCUGGCCUCAGAUAUUCCAGGGUCAUUUGUUCUCUCCCUGCUCCAACCCUGCAGUCAGCCAUCUCCCUAGGGACGUUGGUUCCUUUAUGGAAGGUGGCAUUUAGAAGCCAGGAUUUGGGCUGAGCACUGUGGCUCAUGCUUGUAAUCCCAGCACUUGGGGAGGCCGAAGUGGGCGGAUCGCUGGAGGCCAAGAGUCUGAGACCAGCCUGGCUAACAUGGUGAAACCCUUCCCCGUCUCUACUACAAAUAAAAAAUUAGCUGGGUGUGUUGGCACGUGCCUGUAAUCCCAGUUACUCAGGAGGCUGAAGCACCAGAAUCUCUUGAACCCAGGAGGCCGAGGUUGCAGUGAGCCAAGAUUGCACCACUGCACUACAGCUUGGGUGACAGCGCGAGACACCGUCUCAAAAAGGAUAAUAAUUUAAAAAACAGCAGGAUUUGGGUGAGCAGUGCGCUCAUUGCUUCUGGGCUCUCUCGGUGGACAUAGGCUAGGAAUGUAAGAUGUAUGUGCCUGUGUAUAUACACACGUCUGUAGCUAUGUCUAUGUUGCAUACAUGUGUUUUUCCAAAAACCAAAUCCAUAACCAUGCCUUCAGUUUCAGCCCAACACCUCCGGGCUCUUUCUAGCUUUCUACCUUUCAUGAUUGUGAAUACCUUCUCCAGCAGUGAGAAACCUGGCUCCUUUGUCCUCAGUGGAUUUUCUUAUUUGCUCAAUUUUUUUGUUUUUUGUUUUGUUUUUGUUUUUGAGACAGAGUCUUGUUCUGUCACCCAAGCUGGAGUGCAGUGGCAUAAUCUCGGCUUACCGCAACCUCUGCCUCCUGG
rnacentral:lncRNA from 10 species